AUCCCAGCUGAAGGAAUGGUGCCACCCAUAGUGAGUGAGUUUUCCUGUUAUAAUUAGCUUGAGCUAGAUAACAGCUCUACAUGCUUGCCCAGAAGCUAACCUAACCUGGAUAAUCCCUCAGAGGUGUGUCUGGAAAAUUGUCUUCAGAGUCUAGAUCUCAUCAAGUUGACAAUCAAGAUUAACCAUUGUCAAGUGUACAUAAAGAUCCACAUACCACUUCUCCGUUAGAAAAAAAAUACAAAGAUGAGGACUCUGAAACUCAGUAAUUGUGAAUGCAUGGGAGAGAGUUUAUGAGCCAUAUAGCUCAGAACUUUCUAUGGAACUUUCAAUGGAAGCAUCUUAGAAAAACUGGAUGUGAAGAAAGUGGCCAUGAAUUCUGGAGGAAUAAGCUCCAAGAACACGCUAAGGCUCGCGGCCUUUGGGGAAUUUAAGAUCCAAUCCACAAACUGGAGGUAGGAAAUAGGAGUCUACAUCUGAGAAUCCAUGAGAAGACAGAGAACAAGCAAGCAAAUAGAUAAAAUUAAAACUGAGUGCUGAGAUCAACACUUAUAGAGGAUUGUGAAGUACUAUAUCCAAAAUAAGUAGUUAUUAUUUGUCAGGCUGCCUGGGGAUCUUGAAGACUGUUUUGCA